CACGUGAAACCCUGUAUGAAUUCGUGGGGACCAUCCCAUAAGGCUAAAUACUCCUGAGAGACCGAUAGUGAACUAGUACCGUGAGGGAAAGGUGAAAAGAACCCUGAAUAAGGGAGUGAAAUAGAACCUGAAACCAUACGCUUACAAGCGGUUGGAGCCGAGAGGUGACGGCGUGCCUUUUGCAUAAUGAGCCUACGAGUUACCGUUGCUAGCAAGGUUAAGUGAUUAAGUCACGGAUCCGUAGCGAAAGCGAGUCUGAAUAGGGCGC
rnacentral:rRNA from 1 species